rnacentral:rRNA from 1 species
CUCAUAAACUCUGAGACGUGAUACCGAGCCGCUUCAGGCGAAGUCAUUGAUCCUAUGCUGCCUAGAAAAGCCCAGCAGCGAGUUGACAUGGUGCCCGUACCCCAAACCAACACAGGUGGACAGGUAGAGCAUACCAAGGCGAGUGGGAUAACUAUGGUUAAGGAACUCGGCAAAUUGCCUCCGUAACUUCGGGAGAAGGAGGACCCCAGUAGCGUGAUGAGACUUGCUCUCUGAGCGUGAAGGGGUGGCACAAAAUUGAGGGAAGCGACUGUUUACCAAAAACACAGCAGCGUGCUAAGCCGUAAGGCGCUGUAUACGCUGUGACUCCUGCCCGGUGCUGGAAGGUUACGGGGAUGGGUUAGUCCUUCGGGACGAAGCUCUGAACCUAAGCCCCAGUAAACGGCGGCCGUAACUAUAACGGUCCUAAGGUAGCGAAAUUCCUUGUCGGGUAAGUUCCGACCUGCACGAAUGGAGUAACGACUUCCCUACUGUCUCAACCAUAGACCCAGCGAAAUUGAAGUACGAGUAAAGAUGCUCGUUAGCUGCAGAAGGACGGAAAGACCCCGUGGACCUUUACUAUAACUUGAUGUUGUGUUUUGUCAUAUGUUGUGUAGGAUAGGUGGGAGACUUGGAAGCAUGGACGCUAGUCUGUGUGGAGUCAUCGUUGAAAUACCACCCUGCAUAUGGUGAGGCUCUAACCUAGACCCGUUAUCCGGGUUGGGGACAGCGUCAGGCGGGUAGUUUAACUGGGGCGGUUGCCUCCUAAAGAGUAACGGAGGCGCCCAAAGGUUCCCUCAGCCUGGUUGGCAAUCAGGCGUUGAGUGCAAUGGCAAAAGGGAGCUUGACUGCGAGACCUACAAGUCGAGCAGGAGCGAAAGCUGGGCAUAGUGAUCCGGCGGUUGCGUGUGGAAGCGCCGUCGCUCAACGGAUAAAAGGUACCCCGGGGAUAACAGGCUAAUCUUGCCCAAGCGUCCAUAGCGACGGCAAGGUUUGGCACCUCGAUGUCGGCUCAUCGCAUCCUGGGGCUGAAGCAGGUCCCAAGGGUUGGGCUGUUCGCCCAUUAAAGCGGUACGCGAGCUGGGUUCAGAACGUCGUGAGACAGUUCGGUCCCUAUCCUCUGCAGCCGGAGGUGAAUUGAGGAAAGCUGUCCCUAGUACGAGAGGACCGGGACGGACGCAGCUCUCGUGUGCCAGUUGUCCUGCCAAGGGCAUGGCUGGUUAGCGACCUGCGGAAAGGAUAACCGCUGAAAGCAUCUAAGCGGGAAGCCUCUUCCAAGAUGAAUUCACCCACAGGGUUAACCUGGUAAGGCCCGUGGUAGACCACCACGUUGAUAGGCCGGA